CCCCUCUCAGGGUGGUACUUGGAGAGUUUUCAGUACACUACCAGUUUCUACUAAAGGAGGGAAAGUCAAGCAGAGGCCUACCCAUUCCAUUCCUAGCUCGGGCAGUGGCUAGCGAGUGGAAGGCAAUCUGCUGCAAAC